GUCUUUUUGAUAAUAAUUUAAAGUCUAACCUGCCCACUGAAAUUUUAAGGGCCGCAGUAUUUUGACUGUGCAAAGGUAGCAUAAUAAUUAGUUUUUUAAUUAAAAGCUGGUAUGAAUGGUUGGACGAGAAAAUAACUGUCUCUAUUUAAUUUUAUAGAAUUUUAUUUUUAAGUUAAAAAGCUUAAAUGAAGUAAAAAGACGAGAAGACCCUAUAGAGUUUUAUAUAUUAUAUAAUAAAAAAUUUUUAUGAAUUUUAAAAAAAAAUUAUAAAAAUAUAUUUUAUUGGGGUGAUAAAAAAAAUUAAUUAACUUUUUUUUAAUAAUAACAUUUAUUUAUGAAUAAUUGAUCCAUUUUUAUGAUUAAAAGAUUAAAUUACCUUAGGGAUAACAGCGUAAUUUUUUUUAAGAGUUCUAAUCGAAAGAAAAGUUUGCGACCUCGAUGUUGGAUUAAAAUUAAUUUUUGGUGUAGAAGCUAAAAUAUUAGGUCUGUUCGACCUUUAAAAUUUUACAUGAUCUGAGUUUAAACCGGUGUGAGCCAGGUUGGUUUCUAUCUUUUAUAUAAAUAUUAUUUUAGUACGAAAGGACCAAAUAAUAAUAAUAAUUAUUUAAUAUUGAAUUU
rnacentral:rRNA from 1 species